rnacentral:rRNA from 1 species
GACGAACGCUGGCGGCGUGCUUAACACAUGCAAGUCGAACGGAAAGGCCCUGCUUUUGUGGGGUGCUCGAGUGGCGAACGGGUGAGUAACACGUGAGUAACCUGCCCUUGACUUUGGGAUAACUUCAGGAAACUGGGGCUACUACCGGAUAGGAGCUCCUGCUGCAUGGAGGGGGUUGGAAAGUUUCGGCGGUUGGGGAUGGACUCGCGGCUUAUCAGCUUGUUGGUGGGGUAGUGGCUUACCAAGGCUUUGACGGGUAGCCGGCCUGAGAGGGUGACCGGCCACAUUGGGACUGAGAUACGGCCCAGACGCCUACGGGAGGCAGAAGUGGGGAAUAUUGCACAAUGGGCGGAAGCCUGAUGCAGCAACGCCGCGUGCGGGAUGACGGCCUUCGGGUUGUAAACCGCUUUCGCCUGUGACGAAGCGUGAGUGACGGUAAUGGGUAAAGAAGCACCGGCUAACUACGUG